UUGAACUUAAGCAUAUCAAUAAGCGGAGGAAAAGAAACUAACAAGGAUUCCCCUAGUAACUGCGAGUGAAGCGGGAAAAGCUCAAAUUUUGAAUCUGGCGGUCAUCUUUYGGCCGUCCGAAUUGUAAUCUAGAGAAGUGUCUUCCGCGUUGGACCGUGUACAAGUCUCCUGGAAGGGAGCGUCCUAGAGGGUGAGAAUCCCGUCUUUGACACGGACUACCAAGGCUAUGUGAUGCACUCUCAACGAGUCGAGUUGUUUGUGAAUGCAGCUCAAAUCGGGUGGUAAAUUCCAUCUAAAGCUAAAUACAGGCGAGAAACCGAUAGCGAACAAGUACCGUGAGGGAAAGACGAAAAGAACUUUGAAAAGAGAGUUAAAUAGUACGUGAAAUUGCUGAAAGGGAAACGCUUGAGGUCCAGUCGCGUCGUUCGGGGAUCAACCUUGCUUUAUCGCUCGGUGCACUUCUCGUUCGACGGGUCAACAUCAGUUUUGGUCGCUACAAAAUGGCAAAAGUGAAUGUGGCACUUUUCGGAGUGUGUUAUAGCCUUUCGUCGACUGUCGUGGCUAGGACUGAGGAACUCGGCACGAUCUUUAACUAGUUCGUGUCUAGGAUGUUGGCAUAAUGGCCUUAAGCGACCCGUCUUGAAACACGGACCAAGGAGUCUAACAUGCGUGCGAGUGUUCGGGUGUUUAAACCCAAGCGCGAAAUGAAAGUGAAAGUCGAGAUCUCUGUCGUGGAGAGCACCGACGCCCGGAUCUGAGUCUUUGACAAAGUUUCUGCGGUAGAGCACGUAUGUUGGGACCCGAAAGAUGGUGAACUAUGCCUGAAUAGGGUGAAGCCAGAGGAAACUCUGGUGGAGGCUCGUAGCGAUUCUGACGUGCAAAUCGAUCGUCGA
rnacentral:rRNA from 1 species